GACUUAGGUUUUGGCUCGAAUACUGGUCUGCGAAACCAGAGAUUCUGGGUUCGAUCCCCACCAGAGUCG